CAAUAGCGUAUACUAAAGUUGUUGCAGUUAAAAAGCUCGUAGUUGGAUUUCUGGUGGGAGCGAUCGGUCUGGCGCUUAGCGCGAGUACUUGCAUCGUCUCCGGCCAUCCUUGGGGAGAGUCUGUCUGGCAUUAGGUUGUCGGGCAGAGGAUCCUCAUCGUUUACUGUGAAAAAAUUAGAGUGUUCAAAGCAGGCUUAUGCCGUUGAAUAUAUUAGCAUGGAAUAAUAAGAUAGGACUUUGGUACUAUUUUGUUGGUUUGCGCACCAAAGUAAUGAUUAAUAGGGACAGUUGGGGGUAUUCGUAUUCCGUUGUCAGAGGUGAAAUUCUUGGAUUUACGGAAGACGAACUACUGCGAAAGCAUUUACCAAGGAUGUUUUCAUUAA
rnacentral:rRNA from 1 species